rnacentral:rRNA from 1 species
UACGUAGGGCGCAAGCGUUGUCCGGAAUUAUUGGGCGUAAAGAGCUCGUAGGCGGCUUGUCACGUCGGGUGUGAAAGCCCGGGGCUUAACCCCGGGUCUGCAUUCGAUACGGGCUAGCUAGAGUGUGGUAGGGGAGAUCGGAAUUCCUGGUGUAGCGGUGAAAUGCGCAGAUAUCAGGAGGAACACCCGUAGCGAAGGCGGCACUCUGGGCCGGUACUGACGCUGAGGAGCGAAAGCGUGGGGAGCGAACAGG